UCACCGGAUCAAGCCUGGCUUGCUGUUGGGCCCCUUGUCACUGGGUGACAGGUCCAAAAGACAAUGGCCGGUGUCAUACAGACUCCAUAUGCAACGAGCUUGUCACAGCACGCAUCUGGCAGUCGUGUGGCCCGGUCUGCGCCCCUUUCUUUCUCAA
rnacentral:misc_RNA from 1 species